GUUUAUGUAAACAGAAAAUGCACCUAUGUUCUCUUUUAGGUCCCAUGGGUUCAAACAUCAAGGUGUAGAAGUUUUGAACAUUAGUUAAUCCUCUGGGGCACUCCUGAUAAGAUGGUGAUCAGGGAAACAAGAAAGUGAAUUAGGCUUCCUGCUAACGGGUACCUCCAAGAGUCCCAUUCCUGCUGGCAGACAGAAGGCAUCCAGGGCCUGAUUCAGCACAUUUGUGAUCUUAAACACAGGAGUUCAAUGAAGCUGAAUACCAUUGAACACAUAGUUCAGUCACUAAAGAAGAAAACAGAAAGAAUUGGAGAAUUACUCCUUCUAACUCAUGAAGCCAUUACUUGAAUGGAAAUGGGGAGAAUUCCUCUAGAUUUCAGCACUACUCUAACUACUCCUGGUCAGUAACCCAGUAAUCCUGUAGUUCUUGGGUAGGGCACUUGCAGCUCA
rnacentral:lncRNA from 1 species